rnacentral:lncRNA from 1 species
CUAACUCUGUUGACAUGAAGAAAGUUGCAACUGAUUGUGCCACCACCUCACCUGUUCUUACGAGGUCUCCUUCGCUUCAAAGUACUGCUACUGCAACUGCUCUGGCUUCACCACAGGCACAGGUGUACCCUAUUAACAGGAUCCCUUUCUGCAAACUGAAAGGUCAGUGACUCUCAACUAAUUUAUCUGGAAGACAGAUGAAUUUCAAAUGUAAAUAUUUUUAUGAUUAAUCAUUUCAACGCAUGUUAGCUAAUAUAGCUUGAUGCUUUUGUAAAUAUCUAUUGGAUUAGAACUACCAAUUGCAAGGAGACACUCCCUUCAGCGAUUUUUUGAGAAGCGGCGGGACAGGUACCCCUUCCAUACUGAACUACCAGCCUCCUUGUUUCUUUCUUUCUUCUAUCAAGCAGAAUAAAGUCUUCCUUUUUCAUGUUUAGGUUUAUGUUUCUAAGGAUUCAUGAUAGACACUUAAUAUAUACAAUAAGAUGAUGUUAUAUCAAUACAAGUAUUGUUAGUUAUUGUUGUGAUUUACUUUAGAUGAAAACUAUCAACUAUUCACUAAGUGGACAACAUUAUUAUAUGAUAGUCAUACAUCUUCCUUUUCCCUUAUCCCUUUAUUUAAAAAAAAAAAAAUAACGGUCAUAAUAUAAUAUUAGCUAUUUAGAAUUUGUGUCAAGCAUGGGGAUUGGGGAAUAUAGUUGAGGUGGUAAGUGUUACCAUUUGCUUGUUUCCUUUUGCAGGCUGGUGAACAGGAACCCAUAUCCUAAUCCAUCAACACCAAAAUCAUUUGAUGACACCAAAGCUAACCUCAGUGCUGC